UUUGCAAAUGAUGAUAACUUAGACAGGGACAUCAGAACUCCUAGUUGAGAAUGGUGAUUUGUCAUUGGGAAUUUUCUGAUGCAUG